GUAAGUUUUGCCCAAAAUAUGUGUACCACUGCAGUAUAAGCCUAUUUACCUUUCAUUCUAUUGAGCACAAUGGGGCUUAUUUCUGGGUCCAUGGCAACAGAUAAAGCUGUCCUAGAAAUGAUGUUAGAUUGAAGGAGGAAAAGAAGUUCUUCGAAAAUCUCAAACUAUUUGAUUCCACAUUUGUUAUGAAGGACAACCAGGAAGUGCAAGGCUGUUGUCAGCCAGAUUCGCAGCACGUGGACGAUAGAGAACAGCUUGUACCUCAGACACAUGAAUACAAUUCCAAACAGCAAUCAAAAUAAGUCCAAAAGUAGGAAAGGCGGAGGAAGUUA